rnacentral:rRNA from 1 species
UUCUCCUACGGGGGGCAGCAGUGAGGAAUAUUGGUCAAUGGGCGCAAGCCUGAACCAGCCAAGUCGCGUGAGGGAAGACGGCCCUACGGGUUGUAAACCUCUUUUGCCGGGGAGCAAGCCUGAGCACGUGUGCCCAGGCGGAGAGUACCCGGAGAAAAAGCAUCGGCUAACUCCGUGCCAGCAGCCGCGGUAAUACGGAGGAUGCGAGCGUUAUCCGGAUUUAUUGGGUUUAAAGGGUGCGCAGGCGGGCUGUUAAGCCGGCGGUAAAAAUUUGGGGCUCAAACCCGGCGAGCGGGCGGAACUGG